ensembl:lncRNA
GGGAGAGACGCGCUCAGAUGUUUUGGGGCUGGUUGUGUUAACGUGCUUAAGAAGGGUGUGUCCUUGAAGGAGAAGCUGCUGACAGAAGGAAGGGGCACUCUGAGCAUUGGUACAUCGUGAGAAACGCUGGGCUGGAUGAAGCACAAGCUGGAAUCAAGAUUGCUGGGAGAAAUAUCAAUAACCUCAGAUAUGCAGAUGACACCACCUUUAUGGCAGAAAGUGAAGAAGAACUAAAGAGCCUCUUGAUGAAAAUGAAAGAGGAGAGUGAAAAAGUUGGCUUAAGCUCAACAUUCAGAAAACUAAGAUCAUGACAUCUGGUUCCAUCACUUCAUGGCAAAUAGAUGGACUGAAACAUCAUGGAGGUAUAUACACAGAUGAUCAGAACACAGAUCGUGCCCUCAAGAGACUCGUGAUUCAUAAAGAAAAUCAGACACACAGACAGAAACCUGAAAAAA